CUACGGGACGCUGCAGUAAGGAAUAUUGCGCAAUGGAGGCAACUCUGACGCAGCCAUGCCGCGUGCAGGAAGAAGGCCUUAUGGGUCGUAAACUGCUUUUAUUUAGGAAUAAACCCCCGAACGUGUUCGGGGCUGAAGGUACUAAACGAAUAAGCACCGGCUAACUCCGUGCCAGCAGCCGCGGUAAUACGGAGGGUGCAAGCGUUAUCCGGAUUUAUUGGGUUUAAAGGGUGCGCAGGCGGGCUAUUAAGUCAGUGGUGAAAUCCCGGGGCUCAACUCCGGAACUGCCAUUGAUACUGAUAGUCUUGAGUUUGGUUGAAGUGGGCGGAAUGUAGCAUGUAGCGGUGAAAUGCAUAGAUACGCUACAGAACACCAAUCGCGAAGGCAGCUCACUAAGCCAAAACUGACGCUCAUGCACGAAAGCGUGGGGAUCAAACAGGAUUAGAUACCCUUGUAGUC
rnacentral:rRNA from 1 species